CCUACGGGUGGCAGCAGUGGGGAAUAUUGCACAAUGGGCGCAAGCCUGAUGCAGCCAUGCCGCGUGUGUGAAGAAGGCCUUCGGGUUGUAAAGCACUUUCAGCGGGGAGGAAGGCGUUAAGGUUAAUAACCUUGUCGAUUGACGUUACCCGCAGAAGAAGCACCGGCUAACUCCGUGCCAGCAGCCGCGGUAAUACGGAGGGUGCAAGCGUUAAUCGGAAUUACUGGGCGUAAAGCGCACGCAGGCGGUCUGUCAAGUCGGAUGUGAAAUCCCCGGGCUCAACCUGGGAACUGCAUUCGAAACUGGCAGGCGAGAGUCUUGUAGAGGGGGGUAGAAUUCCAGGUGUAGCGGUGAAAUGCGUAGAGAUCUGGAGGAAUACCGGUGGCGAAGGCGGCCCCCUGGACAAAGACUGACGCUCAGGUGCGAAAGCGUGGGGAGCAAACAGGAUUAGAUACCUAUAGUC
rnacentral:rRNA from 1 species